GCGGCGGCUCCAUGGUGCCCGCCGCCCCCCCCCGCCCCGCAGCAACAGGCGGGACGAGGAGGAAGCGGCCCCCGGGGGUGCCCACCGCCCCGCCGCCGGCCUGAGCCGCGCCGCCCCACGGGAGCAGCCAGCGGGCUCGGGGCGCCCGCGGGCCGCCGGCGAUGGCGAACCAGCUGGUGAUCCUCAACGUGUACGACAUGUAUUGGAUGAAUGAGUAUACUUCUUCCCUUGGAAUUGGAGUAUUCCAUUCGGGUAUAGAGGUGUAUGGCCGAGAAUUUGCCUAUGGUGGUCAUCCAUACCCUUUUUCUGGAAUAUUUGAAAUUUCUCCAGGAAAUGCUUCCGAGCUAGGAGAGACAUUUAAAUUCAAAGAGGCUGUGGUUCUAGGCAGCACUGACUUCAUGGAAGAUGAUAUAGAAAAAAUAGUAGAAGAGCUUGGAAAAGAAUUCAAAGGAAAUGCUUAUCACCUAAUGCACAAAAACUGCAAUCACUUUUCUUCAGCUUUAUCUGAGAUUCUGUGUGGAAAAGAGAUUCCACGAUGGGUGAAUCGUCUCGCCUACUUCAGCUCUUGUAUACCAUUUCUCCAGAGCUGUCUGCCGAAGGAAUGGCUGACUCCUGCAGCCCUCCAGUCCAGUGUCAGCCAGGAGCUACAGGAUGAGCUGGAGGAAGCUGAGGAUGCAGCAGCAUCUGCUUCCUUGGCAAGCUCAGCAUCCGGGUCUAGAACUGGACGCCACACCAAAUUAUAAGUCCUCCUCCAAAGUACUAAAUGGUUUGAAAUACUUCAGUUUAAUCUCUCCAGCAAUUGACUUUCUGACAGAACGUGAGAGCUGACUCCAGAACAUUGUUUUUAUAUGCAAAAAUGGCUCUCAUCAGCCCCUGUUUCAGCUCAGGAUUAUUUAAGUAGCGAAAAGAAUUGCUGGGAGAAAAGGGAAGGAUUUUAUGUGAAGCCACCCUUUUCAUUUUCACCUGUUUGCUAGACCUGAGUUAACAUCUUGUAUAAAGUAGAACUUAAAUUAUUUGUUUACAGUAUUGUGUACUGCUGUUUACAAGUCCUAUAAGGACUCCUGCCACCAUGGAAGAAGAGAGAAUGUGAGUUUUACUGGCGUAACUCGAAGGCAGUGGUAUGAUGCCCUGGCUAUGAACUCUCCCCUUUGUUUUCAAGAUUUAAGGCAGGUGAAACUUAAAUUUCUGAGAAAUGCUAGAAACUGCUGAAUGCUAUCCAUGUGAACAGGGUACCGUACGUUCAAAGUGGCUGAUGUAAACAGGUAGAUUCCAGGAUGUAGGGAGACUGAUUUUUGUGUAAGAUCUGUUAUUGAAGUAUGACCUCUACAUUCAUGAAGUUGAGGAUUUUUGCACAUACGAAGUGAAAUUUCUAUCUCAUUACACUGCACAUUGAUCCCUCACAUUUUGUUUUUUCUUUUAAAUUCAGCCAUGCAGUUUGCAUAGUAUCUUCUGUCCAUAUUUACAGUCUACUUCAACCAGAAUUUAGAUCUAUGAUUAUCGCCUCUUAAAAACAUCAACAGUUUUUUCACUGUUUGUGUUACUUGAUUUAAAACUUGUAUAUACAAAGUUAGUACUUGUAUUAUUUUUUUUUAAUUUUUAUUAUUAUUCAUGUAGUUUGAAUAGCAUAAUACAAGCCAUUUAUGGUUGGGGAAUGGCCUUGCUUCCUGCUGCUGAUUUUUGCUUCAUUUAAGUUUGUAAACAUCAGUGGGUUUUGUUUUUGUUUUUUAACCUAUAUAUUACCACCUGGUUGUGCAUAUCUGCACAAAUUAUAGAGAAAUCUUAAUUUAUUUUCCCACAGUUUCUAUCUGUGGCAUUAACUUUCCUGUCAGAUGUAAUGAAGAAAAACCCGAAAAUUGCUUAUGCACCUGCGUGUUUACACAGCAGAACCUGCUAAUCUGCACACGUAAUUAUGUCUGAAGCUGUACAGAUGAAAAUACUGUCUCCACUUUUUGUUUAAAUACAUCCAUUUGUAAGUCCUGUGAGGAAACUGACACCUGAACCCUGAAGCUGUUGGGUAUUUCAUCAAAGCAAGUGGUACUGUAACUUCAGUCACGUGCUGUGAACUUGGCCUCCGCUGGAUGCCCGCAAGAAGUCACCCUGCCAGCGGUUACUCCGAUUUGUUAGCAAUAGAGCAAGUUACCUUUCACCAGCAUUACUGCCAAGCAGGGAUUACUUUAGUCUACUAAUGACCACACUGUGCUAGGACUAGAACACUCCAAAAUGCUGUGAGAAAGCUGGACACCUGUGGAGUCUUUUCCAUCAAAACGGGUAGAAAAAUAAUUUGCUACUUCAGGGUUCUGCUCUGUUUACUUUCUCAUUCUCGUUUAGUUUUCUGUAAGGUAAUACUUUUGAUACGUAGUGUAUUCCUUAACUCUGUCGUUUUAUUUAAAUGCCAUUUUCUGUUCAGCAAGCCAAAAAAAUCCAAUGUACUGUCAGCGUGCACCAGAAACUUCAGAGUGGCUUGGUAAAAAUAUACUUGCAUUACUUCUAAAAUUUGCAAUGCAAUUCUGAUCACUAUUGAUACAUAGUAAUUUUCACUGUUGGAAGUUGGUUACAAGCUGAAUAAUCACUGAUGCAUUUUGUUUUGUAAACUUGUAUUCAAGUUUACUGUACUACAUAGUAUUUGUAUAAAAUUCAAAGAAUUUUGACUUUUGUUACCUUGUACAUGGCAACAAGUUGUCUAGCAUCUUAAAUCCAUCUGUUUAUUAAAAAUACUUUUAUAAAAAAGACAGUUGACUGUGCUUUUCUUAUUCUCCCGGUACCUGUAGCCUGUGUUUAUCAGUGCUGUGUGAACUGACAUUUCUUUCAAAUGAUGCCUUACGUGAAAGGUGGGUAGCUUUGCUGUAGUUACUUCAGCUGUAUAUAGGCUAUAUUCUCAUUUGGGCAGUUUGGUUUGAUUGAAGCAUAAUUAAUUAGAAGCUGUUAGUUUUUAAAAGGCUAGUUUCUGAAAGUUCUCGUAUUCUGCAUGCCAACCACUACCUGUGGGCAUGCAGCCACUUGGAGUACACUUGGGUUAUAUUGCAGGUAUUACAUGUCAUGCUGAUGUGCUCCAAAACCCAGAUCUGUAGUCUUGGCUUUGCAGCAGACUAAACAAGUACUAGGUAAUGCCCCAAGGGGCUCAGCUGUUAGUGACAGAUCACUGACAGCCAGCAAGGAACCUGGGCUCUGUGUUUAGCUAUGCUUUGUGAGCUAAGCAUGGCAUCUCCACGUAUGCUGCUGAAGAGGAGUGGCUGGGAUAGGAGCUGGUAGAGAAGCUGCUGAAGUAUAGGUGCGUUACUUUGUCCAACUGGACCUGAAUGACUGUGAGAGCUGCAGAGGUGCGAGGAGCUUACUGAAACAAGAUUUGACAAAGGAGACAGAGUACUUCUCUUAAAACUAAUAAUGCAAAUAGAAAGAUCUCUUCUGCCUGGGGAUUUUCCGCUCUACACUCUUCAAGAUUUCACUUCUGUCAUCUCUUAAAAGCAGAAAUUUUGAAAAUGUAGAUGAGUGAGAAGUUGUUGUAGCUGUUGGUCCAGAAAACACACCUGUGACAUCCAAUGGCCAAAAGUGCUUACCCACUUUAAGGCAGCAUUCGGUACCCAAAAGGUAUAUAUAGGCUAAAUGUGUGUCAGGUACCUACCUGCUGAGCUGGGGCAUGGGCAAAGCCUAUUAGGCUACAGCUAAACGUGAUCAACCCCCAGCAGGGAGGGUCAGGAGCAGAAGACUGUUCCCAGUAAGUGCUUUGCUCCAGGGUGAUGGUGAAUGUGGGUUAGGCUGCUUCUAUCCUGUUUCCCAGGUCUGAAUGGUCCUUAGUGUUUGCUCAAGCAAAACAGGGCUUUCCUCCCAGAAUAAGAAUAAAGCCCAAUUAAAACCACCUAAUGACAAAACAAAUCAUCUCAAACAGAAAAUGACUUGCAUUUCCUGCCUGGGAUUCUGAAGCUUAUGGGUUUUGUUCUGCUUUUUCCAUUCCCAAUUUGCCUGUGGGAAACACUGCCUCCUCCCAACUUUACCAGCACGAGUACGCAAUAGCUUGUUGUUCUUUGCCUGGAAGGAGCUGCUGAACAUUUAAAUAGCUGCAGCUGAGUUUAUUUUUCUUCUAUAUUUCAACUUAUUCAUUACUACAGUUACAGGAUCCUGAAAGCGAGGGCUUCGAGAGUACUGGAAUUUUUCCUCUUUUUCAACAAAUUAAUUCACAUGUGUUACGCAGUAUUAUUUGAGUAAGGACUAGCAAGAGCUAUGAUAGCAUAGCCAGCUCAAAUGUAAAAGUCACUGAUGUUCUUAUGUUGAAGAGACAUAAAAAGCACAGUAAAGACACUGAAUGAGAACCAGGAGGAAACAGGCUGCAUAGCUACUGUACCCACUGUAAUGCAAUGGAAAACACAACAAUGAUGGCAGAGUAACAAAGUCCUAGGCUGUAGCAAGUGAGGACCUGCUCAAGUGCAAGAGCCAUGGGCACAGAAACAAAGGAAAGAAUCCACGUACCUUUGGAAGGCUUCAGGGAUCUCCAGCAAGAUACAUUUGCCUCCACUGCCAACCCUUAAAUGAGGUAUGGGAUGGGGUGGAUUCUGGCUCCACCCCUUCCAGUCACUCAGAUGCAUUGCAUGCUCCUGAGUUCCCCUGGGUUGGCCCUGCCUUCCCACCAGGUGCUCAAUCAGUGGUUCAAGCUGUGACUGAGCAUUCCCACUACACGCAGUUACUGUUACAUAGGUAUGAUUUAGGGCUUUGUAGUAAGUGGAAAUGAAAGUCCAUAUAGUGCUUAACAAAAUGCAACAAUAAAGCACUGCCAAAAAGUGUUCCUGAAAUGCAAAACAGUGUCUACUGUUCGUAAUGGCUGCAAAGCUGUUCUGUUAUCUUGUUUCACUGUCCUUUUAGCUUUAUGCUAGUAGCAAACCAGAUACUGGUCUAACAAAAUUCUCUGUCAGCAACUGCAUUUUCAGUUUCUCUGUUCUGGAUGGCAUUGGAAGAUAAGACUCAUAAAAGAGGAGACUGAUUUGUGUGAGUAUGUUUCUGUGUUUCUUCCAAUUCUUGUUCCUAGAUUAAAAAAAAGAAAUCAGCAAGACCUGCCACACACCCAAACUCCUGCCAGUCAGCCAAGGCAGCCUGCUCUGGGGGUGGAUUCCCAGGC